CUUCACACACUGCCUGUAAAAGAGCAGAAUAGAACCAAGGCUCACAGAAACGUGUGCGUCAGAGGGAAGAGGCACGGUGCAUUUCAGUAACAGGACGACCUGACUCUUAGUUUGGCUGAAAGCAUUCCUAAAAACGCAGCCCAAAUGUACCCCUUUCAAAAGUGAAUCCCAAGUCUUCAAAAUUGAGUGUGUAUUUUGCACUUCCAGCACAUCUCAAUUUGUGCUGGCCACAUUUCAGUGCUCAGAAGCCACAUGUCACAGUGGCCGUGCCACUGGGCGAUGCAGACUUGACGCAUCCGGGUGCAUUCAGAAGGUGACCAGUUUCGUAGGUGUUACAACCACUCAGGGUAUUGCUGAGGCGGCAGCCACAGCCUCAGAGAUAAUACUAGAUGUGGCUUCCAUGAAACCACCACUGCCCACUCGCCCUGACCACAAAUGCGUCCAGUUUUCACACCUCACAGACUCUCUGCCACUGAAUGACACAGUGAAAUGUUACUUUAUUCAGGAGAGAUCUGCAGAAGAAAAGCGACCCUCGAAUAAAAUCUAGCCCCUCCACCCUUUGUCCAUUAAAACAAUCAUAGUGUAAUUAGGCCCAUUUCAAAAGUUUUCUUAAGUAAUUUGACAUGCCAGCCACUUUACAUUUCAGGUUUUUAUUGGCUGAAAAGUCUGUCAUGAAACACAAACACACCUGUCAGCAAUUUAAAAAGGACGCACUGGAGAACUGUUCAGGAAAUAAUAUCUGUGCUAAUUAAAACCACUAGUUAAAAGCUUCCUGUUCAUUCCUCUAGUUGCCCUAAGGAGUGACCUUUUCCUCCCCUUCUUUGGGUUCAUUUUUUCAUAUGCGGCAAAUGUGCCCUCCCUGCCUGGGAUGAUUUCAGAUGAAUCUCAGUAAGAGCCACUUACGUCACUGCUCUUCCAGGUGGAGGCCUUGGCUUAGGGCCAGGUGGGGUGGAGGAAGGGAUGAGAUUCUCAGGCAACCUAGUUUCCAGGGAUUACUGUGGGAGGGCUGCUGAGGAGGCUGUUCUGGCCAAACCACACAUCCAAUUAGGAAGCGAAGCAUCAUUUCAGAAGUGCAGUUGUUCCACGGAACACUUCGGGCAAAGGCAAGCUUUCCUUGUGUGAAAGAAACGGAUUGCUGCGCUUACUGCUUUUUCUCAGUUCCCUUCCUCGCUGCUCUGUGCAUGCAUUUUCCAAACCUAUGGCACCCAGAUCCCUUCUUCCUGUUACUCCUCCUUAGCUGCUCCUGAGUCUUAAAGCAAAGCAUUAGCUACUCACCCAUUGGAUUUCUUCAGGACUUUCCACCUUUGGUAGCAUCAGGCUGGAAGGAAGGACCCGGGAUUGCAGAAGGGUCUCUAGGUCAUCUUCCGCCAGACCGCUGGAAACUGAGUUGACUCUCACACAUUUUUCAGUAGAGCCCAGAUCAAAGUCCUCAAGAGUUUUUACAAUUCUCAGUCGAGCUUCAUUCUAUAAGUGUCAAUAAAAAUGUGUUUAUUUUUAUUAUUGAGGGGAGCACCAUCAAAUGGUCUAUGAAACUGUUACGUGGAUUCAGAGUCUGAGCACCAUUAUUCUAUCUACACAUUUCCUGUCCACCAAAAAAACAAUAUUUGAAAGAAGUCAUCCAGUCUGAAAGGUGGAUUGGCAAGAGGCUGCCUGUCUGACCCUGGGUCUCGGAAAGGCUCUCAGGGUGAUCUGCUGCGAUUAUUAGGAGGUAAGUGCUUCCUGGAGAAAGGAGAAAAGGGAAAUUAAGGUAAAAGAGGCCACCCCAAAAGGAGCUUUUAUGGGGACUUUUACAUCCUGGGAGCAAUAUAGGUUGUUUAAAAUGAGGUUUGCGAGGGACUGCAUUCUAAGUGUGUUAACGCUACAGGGCAGCCUUGGUGAGCCCUUCUCACUGUGGAAUUAACUUGUCCCCCAAGAUAUGACAAGCUGGAAACGACUGAAUAAUGGAAUCAAGGCCGUUAUCAACAGUUACAUUAGACCUUCGAAGAGACUAAAUACCAUAGUGUGUUCUGGGUCUUGUUUGAUUCCAAAGGUGGAUUCUGCCCGGGUUGCAGAGGAAAGUGGCACAGAUCAGAAUCUUUGCAGGCCCCUGUUCUAAAAAAUGGUGUUCCCAAAGUUGCCGCAUUCAAUCGAUAUUUCGUGCCAUGCUGCUCAGUGCAGUGGACCAGUGGCUAAUAAACUUGUCCUUAUCCAUAAGCCACUGUAUUAUGUGACUCUGUCUGGGCCAGGAACCAAGGCAUGCUAUGAUUUCAGAGACUGGAUUCCUAUCACCUGGGGAAGAGACAUGCUCUGGUGACGUAAGAAAGCAGAGAAAUCAACCAUCACCGAGACCUGCAGACUCUGAAAUUAAAGGAGAAAAUAUGCGUGCAGUUGGUUCGAUUGGCACCCAUUAAAGCUAAUAACUAAUCAUCCUCGCAAGUUUCUAGCUCAGAAUGAUCAAAUCUGCAAAGAAAACAACAUCCGUCCACUUUUACACUCCAGUGGAAGAGGUGGUCCCUCGCGGCAGGGCAGCACAGUCUCGCCAUCUGGAGAAUAAAUCGAGUGUGAAGUACAGUAUAGUUUGGGACCAAGCUCCGUGGCGGCAGCUCAGCAGUCAGUUCAUUAGUUCCAAACUUCCAGGGAUUAGAGCGGCAUCAAUUCUACUGUCGGAUAGGAUGAGACAGACAGGAUACGAGAUUCAAGGGGGAUUGUGACAACCAAGAGGAGCCCCUUGGGCUUAUUUAUAAAACUACAAAGUAUAAACAUACCCAAAUAAGUGCCUUAAAUAAUAGCAUUAUCACAGUUUCAUAACAUCUGAAUUAUCACCUUUCCCUUCGCCUCCCAGCCCCCGACUCAAACCUUGAAUGUUAAUGUAUAGUUGUUUUCAGAGGAAAUGGCCAAGACAGCCCUGGGUGCAACAGGAACAAGGAGAAACCUAUGUGCGACCCAAGAUUUGGUAAUUAAGAAAUACGAAAGACUUUCUAGAGUCCAGGGAGAAUCCACAACAUUUGUGAUUAAAGAAAAGUACAAUUAAUAUUUUCAUCCUGCAAAGGGCAAUUGCCAUGCCACGUAUUCAAAAACAUCAGUAAAUUUGAUCUCUUCUGUAUUUGUCCAACUCAUCUGAUUUCCAUUGAUCUAAUGUGUUUGGAUCAUUAUCAAUGAUGUUAUGGCACGGGCAUGAAGUGGUCCAAAUUUUGAGCAGAAGGCCCCAGGAACAUCUCUAUGAAAAUCGUUUUGAAAAUGUGGAAAAGUUUGAUUUAACAUAAAAAACAAAAUGAAUUUAUUCUAUUUAAGGAUCACCUUUUUCAUCUAACUUUUUAUCAAUUUGUAUUUAAAAACAGCAUUGCUUAUGGCAUAGAACAUCAUCACUAGUCAAUUAUAUUGUAUUUUUCUCAUAAAUGUGUACAAAUUUCCUGAAAUAAUGAUCACAAAGACUGUUGUAGUGACUGCAUUGAAAAAAAGGGCAAAUGAAUUCCCACUGAUUAUUACAACCUGGUAGUGUGUUUCAUUAAGCAAGGUGAGUGUUGAGUUUUCUACCCCAUUAUUUUUUCCACAUGAAAAAGAAACCUUGGUUUGCCUGUUUCUGAAGGAAAGAAGACCUGUUACAAUACUGAGCAUACUGUAUGUUAACUGGCUUAAAAUUGUAUGUAGAUUCAUCUUACAAAGCAUUACAUGCCAGGCACCCUGUUUACUCUGAAAAUGUAGAUUUUGGCAGAGCAAAGUUUUUGAUAUGUUAAUCAUGAGCCAUACAUUAAAACACAGGUUUACAGUGAAAUGCUAAAUUGGCUUUCAUUCAGAAGCAUAAGAAGGCUCAGGAUGUGUAGAGAUGGGUAGCGUAUAAUAUGUAAUUGGUAUUUCUGCCCUUCAGGGAUAUAAUUGAAAAAGAGAAAAACUUUCCAAAAAACUCCAACACUAAAAUACAAUAAAUCUAUGAAAAGAAUUUGUUUUGAAGGUCUCCAACCAAUUAAAAAUAUUUUUAAAAGAUGUUAGAACAGUGGCUUUAACUUCAGUCAUGCAAACCGAUACAUUUGUCAGAAUUCAUAGAAUAUACACUUUAAAUUUGUACAUUUCACUGUAUAUACAUUUCAUCUCAAAAGCAAGAAGAGAACUGUAAACAAAUAUUGAACUCUAGUCAACCAUAUGCAUGCUGGGGUAUUUAAGGGGACGUGUACUGCUGUCUACAAUUUACUUUGAAAUGGAUAUAUUAA